AGUAAGAGAAGUUCUUGAAACUUAAAGUAUUUGGCGGUUUUUCAGUCUGGUUAGAGGAACUUGUUCUGUGAUCGAUGGUCCUCGAUAGAUUUGACUUUUGUUUUAAAUAUCGCCGUCGACGACAGGUCAAGAUUUAGCGUAUAUGAAAGGUUGAAAUUGGAUUUAAAAGUUGAUGGAUUUAAGUUGGGCUCUGGAGAAUGU
rnacentral:rRNA from 1 species